rnacentral:lncRNA from 1 species
GAAAUGGUGUAGUCAAUGAAGAAAGUAGCAGGGAUGGAUGUGGAACUGACAGUUGAAGAAAUAAACUUCCCAUCUGUUGCAUAUAAGAAUGUAAUUGGAGCUAGAAGAGCCUCCUGGAGAAUAAUCAGCAGUAUUGAACAGAAAGAAGAAAACAAGGAAGGAGAAGACAAGCUAAAAAUGAUUUGGGAAUAUCAGCAAAUGAUUGAGACUGAGCUAAAGUUACUCUGUUGUGACAUUCUGGAUGUACUGGACAAAAACCUCAUUCCAGCAGCUAACACUGGCGAGUCCAAAGUUUUCUAUUAUAAAAUGAAAGGGGACUACCACAGGUAUCUGGCAGAAUUUGCCACAGGAAAUGACAGGAAGGAGGCUGUGGAGAACAGCCUAGUGGCUUAUAAAGCUGCUAGUGAUAUUGCAAUGACAGAACUUCCACCAAUGCAUCCUACUCGCUUAGGUCUUGCUCUCAAAUUUUUCUGUAUUCUACUACGAAAUUCUUAAUUCCCCUGACCAUGCCUGCAGGUUGGCAAAAGCAGCUUUUGAUGAUACAAUUGCAGAACUGGAUACGCUGAGUGAAGAAAGCUAUAAGGACACUAUGGACUUCAGGCAUGCAGGGUGAUGGUGAAGAACAGAAUAAAGAAGCGCUGCAGGAGGUGGAAGAUGAAAAUCAGUGAGACAUAAAAGCCAACAAGAAAAACCAUCUCCGACCACCCUGCUCUUCCCUAUCCCACCCCUUGGCAACUCCCCAUUGUCACUGAGAACCACCAAAUCUGACUUUUACAUUUGGCGUCAGAAUUUAGGUUCCUGCCCUGUUUUUUGUUUGUUUGUUUGUUUGUUUGUUUGUUUGUUUUUUAAACAGUUUUCAAAAGUUCUUAAAGGCAAGAGUGAAUUUCUGUGGAUUUUACUGGUCCCAGCUUUUAGGUUCUUUAAGACACUAACAGGACCGCAUACAGGCUUUCUCAGCAUUACUGUAUUGUCUCCGUGCCAGAUGUGGCAAGAUUACCAUUAGAAAUGGAAAUUACCUUUGAAAGCCAUUAGGUGACGCUUCUAGGUGAUGCAAGCGUCUAAGGGAGAUAUUAAUCACACUAUAGAGGCAAAAGUGGUAUCAUUUUUCAGUUUUUCUAAUUGUUUAAACCGUAUUUUAUACCAAUGUUUGAAAGUAACUCGGUGUUAGCUUGAGAUGGUUAAGGUUUGU